rnacentral:rRNA from 1 species
GACGAACGCUGGCGGCGUGCUUAACACAUGCAAGUCGAACGGAAAGGCCUGCUUUCCCUUGUGGAUUGCGGGUACUCGAGUGGCGAACGGGUGAGUAACACGUGAGUGAUCUGCCCCCAACUUGGGUAUAAGCCUGGGAAACUGGGUCUAAUUCCCGAUAGGACUGCAGGGUGGUGCCUGUGGUGGAAAACGAUUUUCUAGUGGUUGGGGAUGAGCUGGCGGCCUAUCAGCUUGUUGGUGGGGUAAUGGCCUACCAAGGCGGCGACGGGUAGCCGGCCUGGGAGGGUGGACGGCGACAUUGGGACUGGGAUCCGGCCCAGACGCCUGCGGGAGGCAGCAGUGGGGAAUCUUGCACCAUGGGCGUAAGCCUGAUGCAGCGACGCCGCGUGGGGGAUGACGGCCUUCGGGUUGUAAACUCCUUUCGACCGCGAGGAAGCCACCUGGCUGGAAGGGUGGUGACGGUAGUGGUAGAAGAAGCACCGGCUAACUACGUG